CGGGGAGAGGGUUGCGGCUCGGCGCCGGGGCCGCCUCCGCGCGCCCCGCCCGCCCGCCGCCCGCUUAACCCUUUCCAGGACCCCGGGACUUCCUGCCGAGAUGCGGGCUGCAGGCGUGGAGGGCGGCGCCACCUGUCCCCACGACGGCCCCACGGCCGAGGCUGGGCCCCAGCUGCGCCCCGGUAUUCCAGGAUAAAAGACAAAAACGUUGCGAACGCUCAGAGGAAACUGCUGAACUUUGUUCUUCUGUCUGGAAGUGUGGCCUCAACCAUCUCCGGCUCCCUGCAGCUCGGACCUGGCAUAGGGCCACGGGGGGGACCCUCUGGACCUCACCGAGAACUUGAAGUGUUAGCUCCACAAAGCCAGUGGACAAGGGAGACACUUCCUCUGACUUCAGCCGCUUUUUAGUCCUACAUACAGCUGCUUCCUGCCCAGCCUUUGCCGGUUUCAUACACUGCGAGGCUUUUGGAUUUCAGCGCCAGAGCUAACACCCUGAGAACAUCCUUAAAAAACGUUUUCAUUCUGCCAAGUGGAAUACUUUACCUCGGGAUUUGGAUCAAAGGAAGCAGAAACCAAGCAAACUACUGGGAUGUAUAUUUUUAAAUUAUCAGUUAACCAUACCAGAAGCAGAUCUUUUGGGGGCUGAACUCCUUCCCAUCAGGCUCCAUUUUUGUUUUGUUCUCUUUACUCCAAAAACAUUCCAAAAUCUACUGGGCUCUUUUUUCGCAGAUGUUCUGUUCACCUUCACAUGGAGACUGUGUGUCACUAGCUCACCCAGCUCCAUUGGCUUAAAGAUGCCUGGAGUGGAGUUUUAAACUUAUUUCCCAGCAAUGCCUCCAUCCCUCACACCCCCAUUCUUUCAGGGGAAGCUUUAGGCUGACCCACAGCUUUAUAGCCUCAUCCACGUCUCCCACCCACUUUUGUGGAUUAGAAUCCAGUGGCCCCUAAGUUUUCCCCAACCAAAGGUGGAGUACUGACCUGUCUUCUCUACCGCUCUCCAAACUUCCAGAGAUCAGGUACGUCGCAUUUAACUUUUCUUCCCGCGGGAUCUUACUAUGCUUGCCAUAUACUAGGUUCUUAGUAAAUGUUUACUGAAUGAGCGAAAAAGUAAAUGAAUUAACUUAAAAUAUUCAUCCAACCCAUAUGCCAUCUGGUAGAUAAGGUGUGUGGGGAACCCCAUCCCUUUUCAGACUUUACAUGUUUUAUUUUUAAAAACGUACUGUGGUCCCAAUAUGGCCAAUGGAAAUUGCCGGGGAACGAUCCAUGCAUUUAAUUAGGAAGUCAUUCAAACUACAGGGACAUCCAGAGUCCCUGAAGUCAAACAUGGGAUCCAACAAUACCCAGAAGAAGAAGGACUUGUCAUAAACAUUAAAUAAUGUCCAUUCCAACAGUA